rnacentral:rRNA from 1 species
AGGGUGCAGGGCGGAUGCCUUGGCACUAGGAGCCGAUGAAGGACGUGAUAAGCUGCGAUAAGCUUCGGGGAGUUGCACGUAAACUUUGAUCCGAAGAUUUCCGAAUGAGGAAACUCACUUAGAGUAAUGUCUAAGUAUCAUUAAGUGAAUACAUAGCUUAAUGAGGGGAACUCAGGGAACUGAAACAUCUAAGUACCUGAAGGAAGAGAAAGAAAUUCGAUUCCGUAAGUAGCGGCGAGCGAACGCGGAUUAGCCCAAACCAAUAAAGUUUUCUUUAUUGGGGUUGCGGACAUAUCAUAACGAAGAGGUAUCGUAAUUGAAGAGGUUUGGAAAGACCCACCACAGAAGGUAAUAGUCCUGUAUGUUAAACGAGAAGACUUUAGAUAUGAUCCAGAGUACCACGGGACACGUGAAACCCUGUGGGAAGCAGGAGGGACCACCCUCCAAGGCUAAAUACUACCUAGUGACCGAUAGCGUAUAGUACCGUGAGGGAAAGGUGAAAAGAACCCCGGGAGGGGAGUGAAAUAGAACCUGAAACCCUGCACUUACAAGCUGUGGAAGCACAUUUCUUGUGUGACCGCGUACUUUUUGUAGAACGGGCCAACGAGUUACGUUAAGUAGCAAGGUUAAGCACUUAAGGUGCGGAGCCGUAGCGAAAGCGAGUUUUAACUGAGCGUUCAGUUACUUGACGUAGACCCGAAACCGGGCGACCUACCCAUGAGCAGGAUGAAGCGAAAGUAAAAUUUCGUGGAGGUCCGAACCCACGAGCGUUGAAAAGCUCGGGGAUGACUUGUGGGUAGCGGUGAAAUUCCAAUCGAGCCCGGAGAUAGCUGGUUCUCCCCGAAAUAGCUUUAGGGCUAGCCUCAAGGUGAGAGAUACGGAGGUAGAGCACUGAAUGUCCUAGGGGGUAUUGCACCUACCGAAGACUAUCAAACUCCGAAUGCCGUCAUCUUAUACUUGGGAGUCAGACUGUGGGUGAUAAGAUUCAUAGUCGAAAGGGCAACAGCCCAGAUCGUCAGCUAAGGUCCCUAAAUGUAAGUUAAGUGGUAAAGGAUGUGGGAUUGCACAGACAACCAGGAUGUUGGCUUAGAAGCAGCCACUCAUUCAAAGAGUGCGUAAUAGCUCACUGGUCGAGUGAUCCUGCGCCGAAGAUUUCCGGGGCUAAAACUUACUACCGAAGCUACGGCAUCAGUAAUGAUGGGUAGGGGAGCUUCCCAUACGGGUUGAAGCAUGACCGUAAGGACAUGUGGACAGUAUGGGAGUGAGAAUGUUGGCAUGAGUAGCGAGAUGUGGGUGAGAAUCCCACAGGCCGUAAACCCAAGGUUUCCAGGGGAAGGUUCGUCCGCCCUGGGUUAGUCGGGACCUAAGCUGAGGCCGAAAGGCGUAGGUGAUGGACAACAGGUUGAUAUUCCUGUACUACCGAUAACCGUUUGAGAGAAGGGAUGACACAGUAGGAUAAGCUAAGCACACUGUUGGUUAUGUGUGCCCAAGCAUUGAGGCAGUCAAAGUAGGCAAAUCCGCUUUGAUAAUGCUGGGAUGUGAUGGGGAGCGAAAUUUAGUAGCGAAGUAGCUGAUUUCACACUGUCAAGAAAAGUCUCUAUCGAGGUUAAAGGUACCCGUACCGCAAACCGACACAGGUGGGUGAGGAGAGUAUCCUAAGGCCAGCGAGAGAACUGUUGUUAAGGAACUCGGCAAAAUGACCCCGUAACUUAGGGAUAAGGGGUGCCACCAUCAGGUGGCCGCAGAGAAUAGGCCCAAGCGACUGUUUACCAAAAACAUAGGUUUCUGCUAAGUCGCAAGACGAUGUAUAGGAGCUGACGCCUGCCCGGUGCUGGAAGGUUAAGGGGAUCUGUUAGAGCAAUCGAAGCAGUGAACUUAAGCCCCAGUAAACGGCGGCCGUAACUAUAACGGUCCUAAGGUAGCGAAAUUCCUUGUCGGGUAAGUUCCGACCCGCACGAAAGGCGUAACGAUUUGGGCACUGUCUCAACAACAGACUCGGUGAAAUUGUAAUUCCGGUGAAGAUGCCGGAUACCUGCGACAGGACGGAAAGACCCCAUGGAGCUUUACUGUAGCUUGACAUUGGGUCUUGGUACUACAUGUACAGGAUAGGUGGGAGGCUUUGAAACCAGGACGCCAGUUUUGGCGGAGCCAUCCUUGGGAUACCACCCUUGUAGUACUGGGACUCUAACCAUAGGCCAUGAAUCUGGUCUUGGGACACUGUCAGGUGGGCAGUUUGACUGGGGCGGUCGCCUCCCAAAAGGUAACGGAGGCGCUCAAAGGUUCUCUCAGUACGGUCGGAAAUCGUACGUAGAGUGUAAAGGCAAAAGAGAGCUUGAUUGCAAGACAUACAGGUCGAGCAAGGAUGAAAAUCGGACUUAGUGAUCCGGUGGUUCUGCGUGGAAGGGCCAUCGCUCAACGGAUAAAAGCUACCCUGGGGAUAACAGGCUUAUCUCCCCCAAGAGUCCACAUCGACGGGGAGGUUUGGCACCUCGAUGUCGGCUCAUCACAUCCUGGGGCUGUAGUAGGUCCCAAGGGUUGGGCUGUUCGCCCAUUAAAGUGGUACGCGAGCUGGGUUCAGAACGUCGUGAGACAGUUCGGUCCCUAUCCGUCGCAGGCGUAGGAAAUUUGAGAAGACCUGUCCUUAGUACGAG